rnacentral:rRNA from 1 species
UGGGAACGUACCCUUCGGUUCGGAACAACCCAGGGAAACUUGGGCUAAUACCGAAUACGUCCGUAAGGAGAAAGAUUUAUCGCCGAAGGAUCGGCCCGCGUCUGAUUAGCUAGUUGGUGGGUAAUGGCCACCAAGGCGACGAUCAGUAGCUGGUCUGAGAGGAUGAUCAGCCACACUGGGACUGAGACACGGCCCAGACUCCUACGGGAGGCAG